GGCGAGCCCUGGCGGAGCUCGGCGGGCGGUGGGCGGGGCCGCGGCUGAGCGCGGCGGAGAGGAGCGACCCCUCCCCCAGUUCAGAGGGAAGCAAUGAGACUGAAACUCCUGCGCCUUCAGACUACAUCUUUUCACUCUUUAACUACUAUAUGCCGAUGCCAAAGAUUUAAUAAAACUGGACAUCGUCUUCUAAAGCUGGAUAAAGAUGUUGACAGAACGGAUCAUAGUACAGCUAAGAAGAUUGGGAACUCGUAUGCUCCAAAGACUGCUUCCCCUUCUUUGACAAGUCCCUGUGUGCGAGUCAAGAAUUGGCAAAUGAUCCAAGGAAAUGUAUCUGCUUUGGGGAAAAGUGUUUAUUAUCAGGGUGGGGAGAUGUUUAUCCCACCCUGGAAACGUUUUGGCUUGGCAGCAGUGGAAAACUACAAGCUCAGUGUGGAAUAUAUUAAAAAGCUCGGGAACAUAUCGUCAAGAUUUUACUCAAUUGUAUCAAGUAGUAAAAUUAUUCCAAAGUCAAGUACCCAGCCAGUUAAAAGGCCACCAAAGGCACCGAGGACCAAGCAACCCUCCAGAGCUAACCAGCCACUACUGUCAGACAUGGAGAAUCUGAUGCAGUGCACAGCCUUUGCAACAGCAGAUGAAUAUCAUCUUGGUAAUCUGUGUCAUGACCUGACUUCCCAUGGAUAUGUUGAAAUAACAAGUUUGCCCAGAGAUGCUGCAAAUGUUUUGGUGAUGGGUACUGAGAAAUCUGCUAAAGAAGAUGAUCCUGGCAUGAUUUUUUUCUUCAGGGAAGGGGCUGUUGUGUUUUGGAAUGUGGAUGAGAAAAGUAUGAAGAAUAUAUUGCGAGUGCUGGAACAGCAUGAAAUUCAGCCCUAUGAAGUUGCGCUAGUCCACUGGGAAAAUGAAGAGAUAAACUAUAGAAUAGGAGAAGGACAAUCAAAGCUUCAUAAGGGAGAAAUCUUGUUAAAUUCUGAGCUGGAUGCUGAUGAAGUCAUUCUGCAGAAAUUUGCCUUUUCAAAUGCCAUGUGUCUUUCUGUAAAACUGGCUAUUUGGGAAUCGUUACUGGAUAACUUUGUGGAAUCUAUCCAGUCAAUUCCUGAGAUACUAAAAUCAAGAAGGAAGGUAAAACUGUCUCACGCAGAUGUCAUGCAGAAAAUCGGAGAACUUUUUGCGUUAAGACACCGCAUAAAUCUGAGUUCAGACCUGCUAAUAACACCUGACUUCUACUGGGACAGAGAAAAACUGGAAGAGCUUUAUGACAAAACAUGCCAAUUUCUCAAUAUUAAUCGCAGAGUUAAGUUUAGGUUAACAACCCUGCCUCAACCACCUAGACUUAAAUGGAUUAUGCACUUCCUGAGCCACUAACAUAGGCUUUAAAUAGUUGUAAGAAGAGGAGCUUUAAUUCUUUUUCUGAAAUGUGUGCAAGAAAACAAGUUUAAAAAAAAACAGUGAUGUGAAGCAGUCGUCUUAUUGAUGACAUGAGCAUCCAGGUCAGUUCAUUGCAGGGCUAUGUUAUGCUAACUGCUCUACUAGAAUAAGCAUGAGAUACCAUACUUACUUACAUACUUAUUUAGUUACUUCUGAGGCAUUCCCAUAAGCUGCAUGUCAUUUGCUUGCAUCGUUUUGUGACUAAAUGUCACCCAGUAGCUGUUUAAUACCUGCACAUGCAUAUCUAAGUUUGUUCUUUUACGACUCUGUUGAAAUAAGAGUUGUAUCAGAACUCCCGUUGCUUAUGCAUGCUACCUUACAAGACUUUGUAUUCUGCACUUCUGCAGAAAUAUUAACAGCUUUCUGCAGUGAGCCCCUUUAUGGAUUGUCUCUUUAGUGAUCUCAUACAACAUGUAGAACCCAGCUUUGCCCUGUGUUUGAAAUCUGUUGCAGGUAAUGAAUGAAAAGCUGCAGCACUGCAUGGAGCUGACAGACCUAAUGCGAAACCACCUGAAUGAAAAGCAUGCUCUGCGCCUUGAGUGGAUGAUAGUCAUACUCAUCACCAUUGAGGUUAUGUUUGAACUCGCAAGGGUAGUGUUCUGACAUCAGAAUAAACUCUGGAAGGAAACUGACAAAACCAUAAUGACCAUAAAGCCAAGAAAAUUCCUGUCUUACAUGCUUCUGGAAAAUAGUGGAAUUGUCUCUCUUGAUAAAUAUGUACAUACUCUACUCAAAUAAAGAAAUUAUGAAUGUUAUA